UACGUAGGGGGCGAGCGUUGUCCGGAUUUAUUGGGCGUAAAGAGCUCGUAGGUGGUUCGAUAAGUCGGGUGUGAAAACUCUGGGCUUAACCCAGAGACGCCACCCGAUACUGUCGUGACUUGAGUCUGGUAGGGGAGUGUGGAAUUCCCGGUGUAGCGGUGAAAUGCGCAGAUAUCGGGAGGAACACCAGUGGCGAAGGCGGCACUCUGGGCCAGUACUGACGCUCAUGCACGAAAGCGUGGGGAGCAAACAGG
rnacentral:rRNA from 1 species